AUAGACCCACAGGGAGAAAGGCUGCCAUGUAGGAGGUGAUCUGUGCAGGUGAUGAUGCCACAGACACUGGCUGUUCCUUUUCAGCUCAUGCCCCGGUGCUCUAACACAAAGCUGAAAGGAGACAACACACAACUUCUCUCAGACAGGGUCUUACUUUGUUGCCCAGGCUGGAAUGCAGUGGCUAUUCAUUGGCAUGAUCGUAGCACACUACAGCUUUGAACUCCUGGGCUCAAGCAGUCUUCCCACCUCAGCUUCCUGAGUAGCUGAGACUACAGACUGCCUGUUCCAGGAGGGCAGACUAUGCUGAUCUUGCUCACUCCAUGAGCCCAGAAGAAGGCCCGACACACAGCAGGAGUCUGCCCAGGAGGUUCAUGAGCCCUGGCAUCCCAGAAUCUGAAUCCUUCCUCAGUGACAGUGGCUCUUUACCCUUCUAAGUGCAGAGGAGGAAGCCCAGCGCAUUCUGGGUGCACUUCCAGCUGAGGAAAUAAGGAGGAGGAAUUCCUGAAGCCCUGAACAAGUGCCUGGGAUGGAUCCAAACUCCAUCUUGCUU
rnacentral:lncRNA from 10 species